GAUAGAGACUUAAAUCAUGGAUUGGGCCUUGACUUUGGCCCAAGCCUAAAAUGUGGAAAGAAAGGAAAGAAUGAUGAGGUGGCAAGUAAUAGUAACUAUAUAAAGAGUAGCAAGAGAAAAGAAUAACUUAGCCUAGUUUUUAGGUUAGAAUUAUGGGAUCACCAUCUUGGUGAUUUGGGAAGCUUUUUAGCUUUUGGGGCUGAUAGUUACUGCUAUCAGUUUGUUACCCUUUUAUUUUCUUAUUUCACCAUUGCUACACAUUGUAAUUGUUUUCUUGUUUCAUUAAUACAAUUGCUAUUUCCCUUUUCAUAUCCAUUUUCUCUACUUUUGUGAUCUGAACCCUAUCA
rnacentral:lncRNA from 1 species